rnacentral:rRNA from 1 species
AGCGAACGCUGGCGGCAUGCUUAACACAUGCAAGUCGCACGGUUGGGUUUCGGCCUGGCAGUGGCGGACGGGUGAGUAUCGCGUAGGGAUUUAUCGUUGGGUGGGGGAUAACCCUGGGAAACUGGGGCUAAUACCGCAUGACGCCUGUGGGCCAAAGCAGCGAUGCGCCUGAUGAGGAGCCUGCGUUCGAUUAGCUAGUUGGUGGGGUAAAGGCCUACCAAGGCUACGAUCGAUAGCUGGUCUGAGAGGAUGAUCAGCCACACUGGGACUGAGACAC